AGUAAAAAGCCUAGUAGUCCCUGGAUGUGAAAUCUCACCAAUCUCCACCCUGGAAUGGUCCAUCCUAAAAACUUCCACUCUCUUCCCUAGAAAUUGUAUAUAAGUCCUGUAUCCUGUUCAGUUUGCUGCUGUUUCUCACCAGAGCAGAGACAUCCACUCUCUUGGUUUUUAGUUCAUCCAACGAAUCUCUUGUGUGAGGUUUGUUGUGAGGUUUGACUGUAUGGUGGUAUUCCUAGGCUCCUGGCUGCAAGGAAACCUUUCCAACUGGGCUGUAGGGCUUAUAUUUGGUGUAAUGACUCAAAUAGGCUCUCCUAGUGCCUGCAUUUCCCCUCAUGGUCUAAGCUCCACUGGGACCCUAUCCCUCAUCUCCAGUCCACGUGCAACAGACUCACCUUCUGGCUGACCGAUGGCUCAGCGCUCCAUCCACCAGCAACAAUUAAAAAAGAACAGUGAUGACUGUCAAACAGGACAAACUAACAUAUUGUAAGAGAAGGUAAAAGUCCUCAUGUCGAGAUUGCACAUUGCAACCCAAUAGGAAGAAGAGUCCCAAGAGCAGGCAAAAGAGUCAGAGAUAUGCUCCCACUGUUACAAAUCCCACAAAGAAGGAUCAUUUCUUGAGGGACAGACAACUUUAUAUCACGGAUCUACCACAGCCAGGUUAAGAGAAUGGAAGCCAUUGAUGCCUACAAAUGGACUGUCUCUGCACUGUGAACCUAUUGAAAUUAAGGUUUCAUUGGAUACCUGAGCCUUUCUACUCUCCAACCCUCUAUCUCAUCCUGAUACCUGUGUUUGGCAUAAAUACAGAGUUAUGGUCAACUCCCACCAUCCUUGGGCCUGGACUAGAAACUAAUGAAGACAGAAACAGAGAUGGUAUUAGUUAAUUUAGAGAGAGAAUAUUUAUUGAGUGACAACCCAGGGUGACCAGUGUCUCUGCGUGUCAGUUUACCUUGAGAAUAUCAUAAAGAAGCUCAUUAUAAUUGGAGCAAGGAGAUUGCUAUUCUCUGACACCAGUCUGAGAGAACUUCCAAAGAGGUGUCCUGUGUUUGGGGAUGGCAAAGUCUUGUAAUCAUUGUCCUGGCAAAUGUCAUGAAGUCAUACAUAUAGGCAAAUAUAAGCAACACUUAAUGGCCUCAGCAAGUUGUACUUGCGCGGAUAUGUAUUUGUAUAUGUAUAUAUAUAUAUAUAUAUAUACAUAUAUAUACAUAUGUAUAUAUAUAAUAUCUGCUGAAUAAUUUCAUGUCACAAGUUGAAGUCAUCUGAGAGAAGGGAAUUUCAUACCUCCAUAAAUUUCAUACCUGGAGACAAGAUUUCAGGGCAUUUUCUUUAAUAGUGAUUGAUAGGGGAGUACCCAGUUCACUGUAGUGGUGCUAUCCCUGUGCUGGUGAUGCAGUCUACAGAAAGAUGACUGAACAAACUAUAAUGAAGAAGCCAGCAAGGAGCACUCUUCAGUGGCCUGUGCAUCAACUCCUGUCCUGACUUCCUUUGCCUCAGGGAACUUUGAAGAAAUGACAGAAAGAUUUCUGGUUCUAGAGUCCAGGAGAUCUGUUGAGUUGUGUCUUCUAGAAAUCACAGGAAGCCACACACAUGAAAUUCAAUGUGACUGCCUAAAUAAGACUUCAACAGGGGUAUCAACAAUAGACAUACUGAUAUGUACUGAGGGAUUUUUCUGUAAUUAAUAGUGCUUGAUUCAGCACAAUGAAGACCUGAGAUUGCUUCAUAGAUUGUUUAGAAACAAUACAGGCAACAAGGUAGUUGCUGACUGUGUGCAUUUACGUGGUUUAUAUGUGUAGAGGGUGGAAACAUGUUCAUUUCCGAGGGGUCAAACUUGCCUCACAGAAAUAAAGUGGAAAGUGAUAGAGAAGAUCACACUGACAGGAAGCACUCCAAACAGACAUGUACAUCUGAAGAUUAUACAUGUACAUGUGAGAAACCCACCUCCAUAUACUAACAUUAUUUUGGAAACUUUGACACCAUGAGGGCUAUUGCAAAGAAAUUAAAGGAAUGAUGCUUAUUUCUACAA